rnacentral:rRNA from 1 species
CCUUGAUGGCGACCGGCGCACGGGUGAGUAACACGUAUCCAACCUGCCGAUAACUCGGGGAUAGCCUUUCGAAAGAAAGAUUAAUACCCGAUGGCAUAAUUAGACCGCAUGGUCUUAUUAUUAAAGAAUUUCGGUUAUCGAUGGGGAUGCGUUCCAUUAGGCAGUUGGUGAGGUAACGGCUCACCAAACCUUCGAUGGAUAGGGGUUCUGAGAGGAAGGUCCCCCACAUUGGAACUGAGACACGGUCCAA